rnacentral:rRNA from 1 species
UUACGCUGUUAUCCCUAAGGUAACUUAGUCUAGUAAUCAAUAAUAAUGGAUCUAAUAUUCAUAAAUCAAUGUUAUGUAAAUAAAAAAGUUAUAUAUAUAUUUUUGUCACCCCAACAAAACACAAAGAAAUAUAAAAAUAUUAAUAUAUAAAUAUUUAAAUAAAAUUAUGUAAAGAUCUAUAGGGUCUUCUCGUCUUCCAAUAGAAUUUUAGCUUUUUAACUAAAAAAUUAAAUUUUAAAACAAAUAAAAUGAGACAGUCAGUUCCUCGUUAAACCUUUCAUUCCAGCCCUCUAUUAAAAGACUAAUGAUUAUGCUACCUUUGCACGGUCAGUAUACCGCGGCCGUUGAAAUCCUCACUGGGCAGGUCAGACCUUCAAUUAAAUUCAAAAGGACAUGUUUUUGAUAAACAGGCG